GCUUGACCAGAAGGUGAUUAAGGGACGGCCAGUCAGAAUCAGAUGCGCAGUUCCCAAAAAGGAGAACCAAAAAAUCAGUGAUAAUGGGAACUCAGAUCCUUCAAAGAGUAAGAUUCGGACAUGCUAUCAAUGUGGCACCCCUGGGCACCUCUCUUCUGCUUGCCCAAAUAAGAAGGAUUCUGAUGUAAGGAAAUGCUAUGAAUGUGGCACCCCUGGGCACCUCUCUUCUGCUUGCCCAAAUAAGAAGAACUCUGAAGUAAUUUCUGGUGAAAACAAGGGUACAGUUGACUCAGCUAUAGCAUCGUCAAACAAGAGGCGAACAUGUUAUGAAUGUG
rnacentral:lncRNA from 1 species